UUAAUGGGCAGAAGAUUUAUCCACAGAUCAGGUAUAGCAUGGAUAACAGCAAUGAAAGCUUCCCCACAUUUCCCUACCAAUUGCGUCAUCUGUGUCCCAGAGAAAGCUGAGAGGAUGGGCCACUCUCUGUGCUAAUUCUAUACUUGCUUCU
rnacentral:sRNA from 1 species